rnacentral:lncRNA from 1 species
CCACCCUCUUCACCCCCACAGUACCCCCUUCACACCCCAAACACAAAUAUACAAGCCUCGUUCCUCGAAUCAAACUGAGUCUUCUCGAAUCUUUAUUUGAAGAUUUGAGCUAAAACUCGAUUUACACCAAACCAUCCCAAACUCAUACCUAGCACUCUCCUGAUCUUCCUUAGGCCUAAACCAACUUUGGUUUGGUUCAAAUCUACCCAGAAAACCUCUAAAACACCCGUAUGAACCCUAGAAAUCCAAAAUGGGGGUUUCUGUCUAAUUCGAUGAGAGAUUAAGGUCUAUUCGACCAAGAACAUCCUGAUUAAGGUCCAUUCGACCUAAAGUCGUCGAAUCCGGUCGAGUCCAGUUCGUUUGUGCAUGAGCUUAAAGAUAAGUGUUCCUUCUUUUUUCUAUUUUUUUCUCAUUCGUAUUAUGUGUUGCAUUUGUUUGCUUGUUAAGUUUACUGGCAUGAUUUUUUUUCCUUCUUUUUCUGUUCAUCUCCGUAAAGACCUUUAUUUGGUCAUUUGUUCUGUUUGUUUGUUAUUGUUGUGAGUUUCGUGUUCCAAUUUGUUAGAUAGUUUAGUUCAUUUUAGUCCUUUGUUGAAACCACCUAAAAAUCCAGAACCUAACAGUUACACCUUGUUGUUAAUUGAUUAAUUGCUAUUCAGUAUAGUUCAUUUAGUCGAUUAAAUGAAGGUCGUCAUUUGAAUUCACUGAAAAGAAUUAGAAGAAGCAUGAUUGUUCAUCUUUGCUUAAUUACCAGUGUGCCUCGUCUUGCAUCAAUAUGCCUUUAUUCAGUGUUGUUCUACUUAGCCUAUAAUAUAUUAGCUUGUAAUUGGUUUGGAGCUUGGUCAGGUUUGGUUUACCAAACUGACCAACUCACUCCACCAAACUUUUGCACCUUUCUGCCUUAAUUGUUUGAAUUUAGGAAAUUGAAUUGAUUAUAGCUGCUUAAUCAGAAUUUAAUCUUGUUGAUUAGUCUUGAACAUAUUUUAGAAUUUGUCCUGUGGUUUAGGGCAGUAAUAUCAGGGGAAUUACAGGGGUAAUUUGGGGAGUUCAAAGUUAAAAAAUGGUUUGGCUGAGUAUUCUGUCCAGUAGGCCCCAAUAUGUUCUAAUUUGAACUAAUUGAUAGGGGGACCACUAAGGAAUGAAAGAUGUUUUUUGCUUAUUGGAAAUUAGCAACGGUAGGUAAUAAUAAAAGGCUAAAAUAUACAGAUAGUUAGAAGAAUAUAGAGCCAGAAAGUAAGAAAUAAGUAGAGGGUAAUAAUAUAUGGGCAAUGGUAAAAGUAAAGAAAAGGGGGCUGAAAAGGGUCUACCUUUUGUAUAAAAAAGGGGUCAUUUGGGACUAGAGGGGGGGUGGGGAAUUUAUUGAACAUAAAAAGUCGAGUUUAAUAGUGAAUUGAAGCUCAAAUUUUGAAUACAAAUUUUUUUUUUAGAUUUUUGAGUUGAAAAAGAGAGCUGGUUGUGAGUCAUCAGUUUUUGUGUGUUCAGUCUAGAGGGUCUAAGAGCUAGAUAGUUUGUUGUUCUUUUAUGACUGGAAAUCAGAAAAGAGUGAAGUUCGUGAGAGUCUUUCUUCUUUAAGAGUUUAAAGAACAUACUUUUUCAUUGCAUCUCUUGGCCGAGCUUGUCUUACUUGUUAUUUGUUGUUGGUAUUUCUGAGUAUCAAUUGGUUUUCUUAAGUUAUUCCUAGGUUGUAUUCUGCAUCUUCUGGUGUGGCAUUGGUUUUUGCUUAAGCUACUGGUCACAUCACUGCUGCUUUGUUGUGCUACUACUGUUAUACUGUUGCUGCUGAUCUUCCAUUUCUCCCGUUGUAAACACUUCCAGGUACACAGCUUGAUCUCGGCACUUGCAUGCUGAAAUGUGAAAGAAGAUUCAAAGAAAAUAUUUGAAGCAUGAGAUUUGAGUGUUUCCAAUUCCUGAAUUAUGUAUUCAGUGCUUCGUUUAUGGAGGUGGUUUAAGUCCCUGCUUGUUUUGUAUUAGAUGGACUUUUUUUUAGGAUUCUGAUUCAAUGAGUUUGUUUCUCAAGUAUAAUUUAGCUCUUUAGUUGUUGCAACUAAUUUGGUGUUAGUAAUCCGUGUUAAGUCAUUGUCAGUCUCAUGAUAGAUUCUUCCGUAAGUCUGUUUUAAAAUGAUGCGUAUUGAUGUGAAAACAUCAAGUUCAAAAGUAAAUGGUUGAUUGAGUUUUCAUAUUAGUCGGAAAACAAUCUGGGCGUUAUCGUUUAAUUAGGAUAUUAGGAUGGAAUUUGAAUUCUAGUAAUCUUAUUCAC